GGACUACCCGGGUUUCUAAUCCUGUUCGCUCCCUAUGCUUUCGCUCCUCAGCGUCAGUUACGGCUCAGAGAACUGCCUUCGCCAUCGGUGUUCCUCCUGAUAUCUGCGCAUUCCACCGCUACACCAGGAAUUCCAUUCUCCCCUACCGCACUCUAGUUUGCCCGUACCCACUGCAGGCCCGAGGUUGAGCCUCGGGUUUUCACAGCAGACGCGACAAACCGCCUACGAGCUCUUUACGCCCAAUAAUUCCGGACAACGCUUGCACCCUACGUAUUACCGCGGCUGCUGGCAC
rnacentral:rRNA from 1 species